GGGGAAUUUUCCGCAAUGGGCGAAAGCCUUGGACGGAGCAAGACCGCGUGAGGGAGGAAGGCUCUUGGGUUGUAAACCUCUUUUCUCAGGGAAGAAGCUCUGACGGUACCUGAGGAAUCAGCCUCGGCUAACUCCGUGCCAGCAGCCGCGGUAAUACGGAGGAGGCAGGCGUUAUCCGGAAUUAUUGGGCGUAAAGCGUCCGCAGGUGGCGAUUCAAGUCUGCUGUCAAAGCACGGGGCUUAACUCCGUUAAGGCAGUGGAAACUGAAUAGCUAGAGUGCCGUAGGGGUAGAGGGAAUUCCCGGUGUAGCGGUGAAAUGCGUAGAGAUCGGGAAGAACAUCGGUGGCGAAAGCGCUCUACUGGACGGCAACUGACACUCAGGGGACGGAAAAAGCUAGGGGAGCGAAUGGGAUUAGAUACCCCAGUAGUC
rnacentral:rRNA from 1 species